UGGGGAAUAUUGCACAAUGGGCGAAAGCCUGAUGCAGCAACGCCGCGUGAGUGAUGAAGGCCUUCGGGUUGUAAAGCUCUGUCUUUUGGGACGAUAAUGACGGUACCAAAGGAGGAAGCCACGGCUAACUACGUGCCAGCAGCCGCGGUAAUACGUAGGUGGCAAGCGUUGUCCGGAUUUACUGGGCGUAAAGGAUGCGUAGGCGGAUUUUUAAGUGAGAUGUGAAAACCCUAAGCUUAACUUGGGGACUGCAUUUCAUACUGGAAAUCUAGAGUGCGGGAGAGGAGAAUGGAAUUCCUAGUGUAGCGGUGAAAUGCGUAGAGAUUAGGAAGAACACCAGUGGCGAAGGCGAUUCUCUGGACCGUAACUGACGCUGAGGCAUGAAAGCGUGGGUAGCAAACAGGAUUAGAUACCCUGGUAGUCCACGCCGUAAACGAUGAGUACUAGGUGUAGGAGGUAUCGACCCCUUCUGUGCCGCAGUUAACGCAAUAAGUACUCCGCCUGGGAAGUACGAUCGCAAGAUUAAAACUCAAAUGAAUUGACGGGGUCAUAGCUGUUUUUCCU
rnacentral:rRNA from 1 species